UCGAGGGGCAGCAUUUCAGUUUGCUUGCAAACUGGAGAUGGCGACCGGCGCACGGGUGAGUAACACGUAUCCAACCUGCCGAUAACUCGGGGAUAGCCUUUCGAAAGAAAGAUUAAUACCCGAUGGUAUAAUUAGACCGCAUGGUCUUGUUAUUAAAGAAUUUCGGUUAUCGAUGGGGAUGCGUUCCAUUAGGCAGUUGGUGAGGUAACGGCUCACCAAACCUUCGAUGGAUAGGGGUUCUGAGAGGAAGGUCCCCCACAUUGGAACUGAGACACGGCCCAAACUCCUACGGGAGGCAGCAGUGAGGAAUAUUGGUCAAUGGGCGCAGGCCUGAACCAGCCAAGUAGCGUGAAGGAUGACUGCCCUAUGGGUUGUAAACUUCUUUUAUAUGGGAAUAAAGUUUUCCACGUGUGGAAUUUUGUAUGUACCAUAUGAAUAAGGAUCGGCUAACUCCGUGCCAGCAGCCGCGGUAAUACGGAGGAUCCGAGCGUUAUCCGGAUUUAUUGGGUUUAAAGGGAGCGUAGGUGGACAGUUAAGUCAGUUGUGAAAGUUUGCGGCUCAACCGUAAAAUUGCAGUUGAUACUGGCUGUCUUGAGUACAGUAGAGGUGGGCGGAAUUCGUGGUGUAGCGGUGGAAUGCUU
rnacentral:rRNA from 1 species